CUACGGGCCGCAGCAGGUAGGAAUCUUUUGCAAUGCGCGCAAGCGUGACAAAGCGAACCAGAGUGUUUUUCAAUGAAAAGCUUUUGCCAAAUCUAAAAAUUUUGGCGAAUAAGGACUGGGUAAGACUAGUGCCAGCCGCCGCGGUAAUACUAGCGGUCCAAGUCGCAGCCACAAUUAUUGGGUCUAAAACAUCCGUAGCUUGUUCAAUAAGUUCUUUGUGAAAUCUUAUCUCUUAAGGGUAAGGCGUGCAAGGAAUACUGUUGGGCUAGAGACUGGAAGACGUAAAAAGUAUGUUCAAAGUAACGGUAAAAUGUGUUAAUCUUGAGCAGACUAACAAUAGCGAAGGCAUUUUACGAGGACAGUUCUGACAGUAAAGGAUGAAGGCUAGGGGCGCAAAACGGAUUAGAUACCCCCGUAGUC
rnacentral:rRNA from 1 species